GUCCCAACGCCGCUUACCAGAGAACCCUUGAGGACAUGUUGGAGACAGUUGGUGCGGGCUGUGCUGUGAAUUCCCCCGAAGAGCUAGAGGGGAUGGAUGCUGCAGCUUAGAGAUUUCUUCAGCCCAGUAUUCUCCCAUUGUGCUGUUCCUGGUUGUGUUUAGCAACCAGAGGCACCCAGUAUGGGGCUCCAACGACCAGUGAACUGAAGUAUUUGGAAAAGCCAACUGAAGAACAUUGAAGAGUUGGUGGUCCAGGAAGGAACACACCAGGACCAUGCUUCAAGACCAUCAGGAUAACAAUGGGGCAAACUAAAAGCAAAAGGGCUAAGUAUUUUGAGCUGAUAAAGAUGCUGCUGGCAGUGUCAGGAGUAAAAGUAAAGAGAAGAGAUUUUGAGGAUCUAGCCUGUUAUAUGGAGAAAUAUUGUUGCCGGUUACCUCCACAAGGAAUGCUGCAAACGCAGCAGUGGAAGGAGGUGGUCGGGGCCUUUGAAAGGGCUGGCAGCCAGGGGAAAAUAAUCCCAUGUAAAAUUUGGGUUUUAUGCCAUUUAAUUACAGUGGUAUUGCAGCGUUCUCAAACUCCUCCACCAUCAGAGUGUGGGUCUGUAUGGGAAGCUCCCGUGUAGAACCAGGAUAAGGAUGGAGACUCUCGGUCUUGUGACAAAGAGCAUUAAAAAUGCAAAGCCUGGGAGAAUGAUGAGGAGUCUGCCCCCAGACUCUGCAGAUGUCUGGCUACCAGCCCAAAAACUAAAACUCAGGAAUGAAGAAAAGAUCAUCCAACAUCAAGGGACCUCUGGAGGAAUCCUUGAAGAAGAUGAGGGUGACUGAAGGCUCUGAAUGAACAGAACAGCACAACAGAACAGGGACCAUUCCCACCUGGGGACAAAUGAAGAAUCUUUCUCAAGAAGCCAAAAGACGUCUAAAGGAAGCCUGGCACCAGUGGCGCACACCUGUAAUCCUAGCUACUCAGGAGGCUGAGAUCUGAGGAUUGUGGUUUGAA